GGCGGGCUGUGGCCUGAGGGGCGUUGACCGGCUGAUGGGCCGGAGUGCGCCGAGCCUAGGGCCCGGGACCUGAGAUGCGGGGAGCGAUGCACGCGGGCUCCUGGCCCCUGAGCCACGCCGAGGAGUCGUCAGGAGCAUCUCGGGACGAGGAAGCCUCCAGCCUCAGCAUCGGGUGCAAGGACAACAGCCCUACAGAUUCUGCUUAACCUGCUCCUGCAAUUGCCUAAGGUCCAGACUCUGUAACAGAACACACCCAUCUAGGGAUUCUGCUUCUCUGAUGGAACCUUAGCUGAUACGCAGCAGUGGACAGCCCAGUGUUGGAAUGGAGGACGCACCUUGUCUUUCAGUUCAGCCAUCCUUACCACAAGUGCUUCCAUCCUCAGGAUCACAAGGUAUAGCCACCACACUCUGGUCACUAUUUCCUGUUCCUGGCAAAGAGGGGAAGAAGAGAAAGCCAAAAGGGGGUUUUCCUGGAAGCUCCAUGUGUAGCCCUAACCUUGGGAACGUGAAGUCCUGACAUCUAAACUACCUCUGUGCCUUCAAGGAAUAUGUGACUGAAUAGAGUAGAACAUUGGAUGUAGCAUGGAUUCCAUGUAAAUUUCAGAUGAAAUUCAGUGUCUAACAGUGAUGUGGAGGAUGACAAAUAACUUAUGCUGAGCUUUUUGUAAAGGGGAGGGUCCACUUAUAUGGGGAAAGUUUUCUGGAAGAGGUCACUUUACACUCUGAUUUCAAGGAGGUAAAGGAUGUGGCAUAGUAGAAAGGAUAGAGGGAAUUAUACAAAUAUGGUGGAGUGAGAGGU